rnacentral:lncRNA from 1 species
UGUCUCUCUCAUGCUCUCUUUUAGAAGAAAAGUUUUACCUGUAAGUUAGGCCUUUAAAAAAAAACUCUACAACUCGUGAUUUUCAGUGACAUACUUCAUGUCUCUGUCUUGUGUUUUCUUAACUUCACUCGUGGUGUCUUGACUACUAUAGACCAAUGUUUAAAUUGGCAGCUUUGAGGGGUUUUUUCCUCCCCAUAGACAUAAAAACAAUGAUUUUAGAAU